UACGGAGGGUGCAAGCGUUGUCCGGAAUCACUGGGCGUAAAGGGCGCGUAGGCGGCUCAUGAAGGCUGUGGUGAAAGUCCGGGGCUCAACCUCGGAUCGGCCGUGGCGACUCGUGGGCUGGAGCACUGUAGAGGCGGGUGGAAUUCCGGGUGUAGCGGUGGAAUGCGUAGAGAUCCGGAAGAACACCAGUGGCGAAGGCGGCCCGCUGGGCAGUGGCUGACGCUGAGGCGCGACAGCGUGGGGGAGCAAACAGGG
rnacentral:rRNA from 1 species